rnacentral:rRNA from 1 species
AAUGAACGCUAGCGGCAGGCUUAAUACAUGCAAGUCGAGGGGCAGCAUGAUUGUAGCAAUACAAUUGAUGGCGACCGGCAAACGGGUGCGGAACACGUACACAACCUUCCAACAAGUGGGGGAUAGCCCAGAGAAAUUUGGAUUAAUACCCCGUAACAUAGCGAUGUGGCAUCACAUUGCUAUUAUAGAUUUUUCGCUUGUUGAUGGGUGUGCGGCUGAUUAGAUAGUUGGCGGGGUAACGGCCCACCAAGUCUACGAUCAGUAGCUGAUGUGAGAGCAUGAUCAGCCAAACGGGAACUGAGACACGGGCCCGACUCCUACGGGAGGCAGCAGUAAGGAAUAUUGGACAAUGGACGCAAGUCUGAUCCAGCCAUGCCGCGUGAAGGAUUAAGGUCCUCUGGAUUGUAAACUUCUUUUAUAAGGGACGAAAAAAGGCUUUUCUAAGUCGUCUGACGGUACCUUAUGAAUAAGCACCGGCUAACUCCGUGCCAGCAGCCGCGGUAACAC